rnacentral:rRNA from 1 species
GACGAACGCUGGCGGCGCGCUUAACACAUGCAAGUCGAACGGAAAGGCCUGCUUUCCCUUGUGGUUUGCGGGUACUCGAGUGGCGAACGGGUGAGUAAGACGUGAGUGAUCUGCCCCCAACUUGGGUAUAAGCCUGGGAAACUGGGUCUAAUUCCCGAUAGGACUGCAGGGUGGUGCCUGUGGUGGAAAACGAUUUUCUAGUGGUUGGGGAUGAGCUCGCGGCCUAUCAGCUUGUUGGUGGGGUAAUGGCCUACCAAGGCGGCGACGGGUAGCCGGCCUGAGAGGGUGGACGGCCACAUUGGGACUGAGAUACGGCCCAGACUCCUACGGGAGGCAGGAGUGGGGAAUAUUGCACAAUGGGCGGAAGCCUGAUGCAGCGACGCCGCGUGGGGGAUGACGGCCUUCGGGUUGUAAACUCCUUUCGACCGCGAGGAAGCCACCUGGUUGGAAGGGUGGUGACGGUAGUGGUAGAAGAAGCACCGGCUAACUACGUG